CACGUAGGGUGCGAGCGUUGUCCGGAAUUAUUGGGCGUAAAGAGCUCGUAGGCGGUGUGUCGCGUCGGCCGUGAAAACCUGCAGCUUAACUGUGGGCGUGCGGUCGAUACGGGCAUCACUGGAGUUCGGCAGGGGAGACUGGAAUUCCUGGUGUAGCGGUGAAAUGCGCAGAUAUCAGGAGGAACACCGGGUGGCGAAGGCGGGUCUCUGGGCCGA
rnacentral:rRNA from 1 species